UGGGGAAUCUUGCGCAAUGGACGAAAGUCUGACGCAGCGACGCCGCGUGGGGGAUGAAGGCUUUCGGGUUGUAAACCCCUGUUGCCCGGGACGAACUUCCGCUUUCGAGCGGAUUGACGGUACCGGGUGAGGAAGCACCGGCUAACUCUGUGCCAGCAGCCGCGGUAAUACAGAGGGUGCGAGCGUUGUCCGGAAUCACUGGGCGUAAAGGGCGCGUAGGUGGCGCGACAAGUCGGUGGUGAAAGUUCGACGCUUAACGUCGAAUCGGCCACCGAUACUGUUGGGCUUGAGCACUGUAGAGGCUAAUGGAAUUCCGGGUGUAGCGGUGGAAUGCGUAGAGAUCCGGAAGAACACCGGUGGCGAAGGCGGUUAGCUGGGCAGUUGCUGACACUGAGGCGCGACAGCGUGGGGAGCAAACAGG
rnacentral:rRNA from 1 species